CACAGUGGUGUUAAAGCAUUCAAUUGUGACUUGUGUGGAAAGUCUUUUACUCAAAAGAGUGCCCUAAAAACUCAUCAAAGCCUCCACAGUGGAAUUAAAGCACACACCUGUAAUCAGUGUGGGAAAAGUUUCACAUGGAAACAAGGCUUAGAAAGGCAUAAGCUCAUCCACAGUGGAGUUAAAGCAUACACUUGUGAUCAGUGUGAUAGAAGUUUUACUCAAGGUAGCCACUUAAGGAUUCAUCAAGUUUCCCACUCAGGAAUUAAAGCAUACAGCUGUGACAUCUGUGGGAGAACCUUCAGCCAUAUAGAGAAUCGAAACAAACACCAGCGGAUUCACACGGGACAGGAUGUGUACUGCUGUGAUCAGUGUGGCAAACGAUUUGUAGCAUACAAACAUUUACAAAUCCACAAAUUUACUCACACUGAUGAGAGACCCUAUAAGUGUGACCUGUGUGAUAAAGCUUUUAACGCUCCAUAUUCCCUGAAAGCACACCAACAGAUCCACACCAGAAAGAGACUCUUCAAGUGCAGUUACUGUGAGAAGCAGAGCGACACAGAUGGAUGCAGUUCUCAACUCUGUCGUUGCUGUGGUGGCGGGAAAGAAUUUUUUUGUGACUUUUGUGGAAAAAUGUUCAGUCAGCAAACAAGCCUCAAAACACACCAGCGAAGACACACUAGACACAAACUGAACUACUGCAACAAAUGUGGGAAAGGCUUCCCCACUCCAAGUACAUUAAAACGCCAUGAACUCAUUCACAGUGGGGUUAAAAAGCACCUCUGUGAUCAGUGUGGGUCAUCGUUCAUCAGUACAAGUCAACUUAAAAGGCACAAGCGAGUCCACACAGGAGAGAAACCAUACAAGUGCAGACACUGUGACAAAAGCUUCUCACAUUCAGGUAAUCGUAACCUUCAUGAAGCUACACAUUAAAAAAAGAACUAUAGCUGUGACCAGUGUGACAAGAGCUUCAGGAAUCUCAUGUGGCAAAUGAACGGUUUCACUGUUACCAGUGUGCUAAAACAUUCACUUCAUAUUCUGCUCUCUGCAAACAUCUGCAGGAUCAUGAAGGGCUGAAAUCAUUCCCAUCACUGGAUCACAGUGAAUCAGAAGAGAGAGAAAGAACAGAGACUGAAAACCCUUGAGAUCAGGCUCCACAGAGUUCAGAUAGAAUCUCCUUCUCCCCCUUUUGUGAGUGUGGACGCUUCCUGUCUUUGCUCUUUAAAUGUUUUGCUUCUUUUAUUGAUUUUUAUUGAUUUUUAUGCUGGUUUUUCCCUUUUUUCCGUAUGAGCUUACCUGCGAUAGCUUCUGGAAACUUAUAGAUCAUUAGGACUAAAGCGUUCUUAACAGAAACAGCAACAUUUUUAUAGUUACCGUAUCUUCAGCGCUCCGUGUGUCUGUGGUCUAGACACAGCUAAAGCCUGAUUACAGCGUCUGGGCACCGAACAGCCUCAAUAGCCUGGAAAGGUGCUAACCGCAUUAUAAUAAAUCCUCAAGCGAUAAUCCCCCCCUUUAUGCGCGUCUUAAAACCAAGACACAAAUCAUGUCUCAAGAAAGGGGGAGGACGUAUCACAGGCAGGGCACAGCGAGCUGAAAUCUCUGAAACCGACUGGCCUUCACUUCCUACGAGACAGAGAAGCUCUUCUACCCCUGUAUACGGGAGGAAACAGGACUGGACAACCGUGAAUAGGAUGGUUAACAACAAACCUCCAAAACAACUGAAUGUGAAACUGCAGAACAGAUUUGCUCCACUAUCAAAGGACCCUGGAUCUAUAUCGGACAACCAUCCAUCUAAAAGCAGCGAAGUAAGGUCUGAAAAUCUGUUGAAAAGUA